CUUCCCCUUCUCCCCCACCCCCCAGGCCCGGCCGGAGCCAAACCCAAGCCGCCUUUUCCAACACAACAGUUCUCGGAGAGAGGAAGCAACCACACAAAAAAAAGCAAAUGCUGCCUGCCUGAUCUGCUGAGUUUUUCCAGCAUCUUCUCUUUAUAAAUAAAAGGUCUUUGAAUAGGGUGGAAGACAAGAGUGGUUAACUAACAAAAGGAUGUUGGAGGAGGCAAAAGGACACAGUAGUGUGACAUGCAGAGAAACUAAAAGGCAAAAUCCUUUCUUAUGCACUUCUGGAAGAUCUGCUGCUGAACUUCCCUAGAUUGAAGAGGAAUUGGUACACACAGAACAUAGUCUGCACAGUGACGAACACUACCAUAUCUGUUGAAUGCCUGGUGCGAGCAUAUAACAUGGCAUUGCAAUACCUCCACUUGAAAUGCAGGUAGCAGAGCCUGUGUGCAAGCCUUUCUCUCCAUUAGAGGCCUCAUUGACAAAGUACACUGUUUUGUGAAUAAACAGAAUUGACUUUCCAUGAUGUCUAAAACCCUGCUUUAAAGGAGGAAAUUUUAAAUGGAAAGGGAAAAUGGGCGGUAUUUAGUAUGCAAGUUCAGUCCAGUAUAACAAGUUUUCAGGCAUUGCCCUAUCACCUUUGAUGUCUCCACAACUCCUGUUUCUCACAACCCAAAUGAUUUAUAGGGUGCCUAUCUGGCUUGAUGCUCUAUGUGGUGGUGGUUUCCAAAACUAUUAAGCAACUCUACUGAAGAUAAGAUAUCUUUAUUAGUCACACGUAUUUCAAAACACACAGUAAAAUGCAUCUUUUGCGUAGAGUGUUCUGGGGGCAGCCCGCAAGUGUCGCCACGCUUCCGGCACCAACGUAGCAUGCCCACAACUCCUAACCCGUACAUCUUUGGAAUGUGGGAGAAAACCGGAGCACCCAGAAGAAACCCAUGCAGUCACAGGGAGAACGUACAAACACCUUACAGACAGCGGUCAGAAUUGAACCCGGGUCGCUGGCGCUGUAAUAGCAUUACGUUAACCGCUACACUACUGUGCCUGCCUCUGCACUGAGUCUUGGGCUAUAAGCAGAAAAUAUGAGCACAAUAUACGUGAUACAAACUUUAUUGCAUAAAUGGAAAACCUGACCUGUAGAGAAAAGACAAAGUGAAAUACCUAAAAAUCAAAACAAAUUGCAGAUGCUGUAAAUCUGAAAUAAAAAUAGAAAAUGC